rnacentral:rRNA from 1 species
AAUGAACGCUGGCGGCAGGCCUAACACAUGCAAGUCGAACGCGUGGCGGACGGGUGAGUAUUGUCUGGGAAAAUGCUUGCUGGAGGGGGAUAACUACUGUAAACGGUAGCUAUUACCGCAUACCCUCUGAUGUGCCCAGAUGGGAUUAGUUAGUAGGUGGGGUAAAGGAUCACCUAGGCGACGAUCCCUAGCUGGUCUGAGAGGAUGGCAAGCCACACUGGAACUGAGACACGGGACAGACGCCAACGGGAGGCAGCGGAGGAGAAAAUAGCACAGUGGGCUCAAGGCUGACGUAGACAAGCCAAGUGUAUGAAGGAGGGAAGCGGGUUGUAAAGUAAUUUCAGCGGGGAGGCGGUACCAGAAGAAGAAGCACCGGCUAACUCCGUGCCAGCAGCCGCGGUAAUAC